rnacentral:rRNA from 1 species
AUUGAACGCUGGCGGCAUGCCUUACACAUGCAAGUCGAACGGCAGCACGGGAGCAAUCCUGGUGGCGAGUGGCGAACGGGUGAGUAAAGUAUCGGAACGUGCCCAGUCGUGGGGGAUAACGUAGCGAAAGUUACGCCAAUACCGCAUACGAUCUAUGGAUGAAAGCGGGGGAUCGCGAGACCUCGCGCGAUUGGAGCGGCCGAUAUCAGAUUAGGUAGUUGGUGGGGUAAAGGCUCACCAAGCCGACGGUCUGUAGCUGGUCUGAGAGGACGACCAGCCACACUGGGACUGAGACACGGCCCAGACUCCUACGGGAGGCAGCAGUGGGGAAUUUUGGACAAUGGGCGCAAGCCUGAUCCAGCCAUGCCGCGUGCAGGAUGGAGGCCUUCGGGUUGUAAACUGCUUUUGUACGGAACGAAAAGGUUUGACUUAAUACGUUGGACUCAUGACGGUACCGUAAGAAUAAGCACCGGCUAACUACGUGCCAGCCGCCGCCGUAA